AGAAGACCUGCUCCACCUGCUGAUCUACUGGUUGUAACAGCUUGUGGGAAAGCAUCACUGGACCAAUCAGGCGAGAGAAGACAGAGAGGACUGAGGACUAAAACGAAAAUACUCUGCCUGCCAAAAAAGGUAGACGAUCCAGUGGCCCCAGGUUUACACACCAUCUGCUGGUUUGAGGCAGACCGACCGCUGGGGAGAUGGACCUCACCUGGCACCAUUACUCUGGAUGUAACAGCUCGACUCUCCUGUCAAUUAAAACAUCAGUGACUCGAGAAGCGGACAGCGAGGUUUCUGGUGCCUGGCUGGAGACGAGAUUCUGAUUAUUCAAGAGCCAAAACAAAACGUCAGAAUAAAUAGUUAGAAGGCAGAUUUGUUUUCUAUUUGUUUUUGUUUUCAUUA